UCCGGUUUGACACCGGCAGUCCCGUUAGAGUCCCCGGCAUGACCCGAUGGCAACUAACGGCAGGGGUUUCGCUCGUUAAGCGACUUAACGCGACACUUCACAGCACGAGCUGACGACAGCCAUGCAGCACCUGUGCACGUUCCGCCCUUGCGGGUGCGGGCCGGCUUUCACCGGCUUGAUCCGUGCAUGUCAAGCCCUGGAUAAGGUUCUUCGCGUUGCUUCGAAUUAAACCACAUGCUCCACCGCUUGUGUGAGCCCCCGUCAAUUCCUUUGAGUUUUAGCCUUGCGACCGUACUCCCCAGGCGGCGCACUUACACUUUAGCUUCGACCGUGCCGGCGUCAGAGCCGCCACAAUCUAGUGCGCAUCGUUUAGGGCGUGGACUA
rnacentral:misc_RNA from 1 species